AAAGGAAUUGACGGGGACCCGCACAAGCGGUGGAACAUGUGGUUUAAUUCGAUGCUACGCGAAGAACCUCACCUGGGCUUGACAUAUACGCAGUAGUGAACCGAAAGGGGAACGAACCGUUAAGUCCGGUAACGUAUACAGGUGCUGCAUGGCUGUCGUCAGCUCGUGUCGUGAGAUGUUGGGUUAAGUCCCGCAACGAGCGCAACCAUUGCCCUAUGUUGCCACUCUAUCCUUCGGGGUAGAAGCACUCUUAGGGGACUGCCUGGGAUAACCAGGAGGAAGGUGGAGAUGACGUCAAGUCAGUACGGCCUUUAUGCCCAGGGCUACACACGUGUUACAAUGGCAGGUACAAAGGGUUGCCAACCCGCGAGGGGGAGCUAAUCUCAAAAAACCUGCCCCAGUUCGGAUAAGAGUCUGCAACUCGACUCUUUGAAGCCGGAAUCGCUAGUAAUGGAAGAUCAGCUCGCUUCCGUGAAUACGUUCCCGGGUCUUGUACACACCGCCCGU
rnacentral:rRNA from 1 species